CGGGGAGGCGCCCGCGCGUUACGUGAUGAAACCCGCCCGGCGGGCGCAACAGGAGGCUCCCCCGCGGGGGGCAGUGCGCGGCCCGCCGCGUCACGUGAUGCUCCCUGCCAACAGCUGAAUGAAGAUUUCAAAGAAUCUAGAGGAAGUCAAAACUGCAAAAUAGAAGAAGCACGGGGCCCCAAAUUAGUCCUUGAAGGAAUCCUGCCCCAGAGAACUGCAUGACCAGAUAUGAAUGGAAAACCACGUAUCACCAGUUCUUGAGGAAAUUCAACAGCUCUAAAGAAAAGGACUAACAAUAACAACAGAAAGAUGAACAAACUGAAAACUGACCCCAGAGAAAAGACAGAUAAAAGAACAGAAAAAAAAGUUGUAAAAAUUCUAAAUAAUAUCAUCCUUAGAAAGACGCAUGGGGAUAUUGCAGGAGGCUGCUGUGAAAAGGAAACAAACAACUGCUGGGAUAAAGGAAAAACAACAAGCAAACAAAAUGGAAAUUUUAAAAGAUGAUAGUAAAAUUAAGUAAAACAAUGGAUAGAAUAAAUAAUAGGAUGUAUAUGGCAAAAACUGGGGAUACUUUCCAGAAGCUAAGUGGGGGUAUAUCUCCCUGAGUAUACAAAAAACAUCAAGAAUGGAAAUUUUGAGAGAAAAAUCAAGAGACUGCCAUGGACUGAAUUGUGUCCCCUUCCUCCCAAAUUCACAUGUUGAACCCCUAACCUCAAGGUAUAUGGGGAUAGGGCCUGUGAGGAGAUAAUAAAAGUUAAAUGAGGGCAGAAGGGUAGGACCCUAAUUUGAUUGAGCUGGUGCCCUUAUAAGAAGAGGAAGAGACACUAGAGCUAUCUCUCCAUCGUGUGAGGACACAGUGAGAAGGCAGCUGUCUGCAAGCCAGGAAGAGAGCCCUCACCAGAAACUGAAUUGGUCAGCACCUUCAUCUUAGCCUUCAAAACUGUAAGAAAAUAAAUUUCUGUUGUUUAAGCCACCCAGUCUAUGGUAUUUUGUUAUGGCAGCCCAAGUUUAGUAAUAUAGAGACACAAAGGAUUUAUUCACAAAUGCCUCCAUUCAUUCAAAAGAAGUAUCAAGAGAGAACUGAGAUUCGGCGGGGAAGAGGUCUACAAAAAAAUAAGAAAAGAAAAUUUCCCCAACUCAAAGAAAGGCUCAAGACUUCUUAGGGCCUGCCAAGUGUCAAGCAAGGUAAAAUUUCAGAGCCAAGAGAACAAAGAAGAAAACAAAGAGAAAAAGAAUUCAGAGAAGAAAAACAGGUUUCCUAAAAGGAACAAAAAUGAGAUUGUCUUCCAGACUUCCAAAAGGUAACUGAAUGCUGGGCAACAAUGAAGCAAUAACUUCAAAAUUUGGAAUUAAAUACUUUUGAGCCUAGAAUUAUGUACCAUGCUAGCCAAACUAGCAUUCAAGGGAGAGAGCCAAAAAAGACAUUUUCUAUUUCCCCUUCAGAUUGUCAAAAAUGAGGAAACCUGAUUAAAUCCAGCAAUAGCAAGGUUUCAGGGGAAAUGGUACUCUCAGACUCUGUGGGAAUGUCAAUUAGUACAACAAUUUUUUAGAGAGCCACUUGGAAGUGUGUAUCAAAAAUUUCCAUUUCCAGCUAUCUAAUCUGGAGAAAAACUUGUACAAAUGCGUGAGAGGCUCACACAAUGAGGUCAAGAGCGCAGAUCCUGGAGUCAGAGUCCUGGGGGUCGAAUCCCAGCUCAGCUCAGCCACUCUUAGUCAUGGGACUUUGGGUGAGAUUAGUUGCCUCAACAGUGAAAUAGGGGUGAUAAUACAUAGUACCUAUUUCACAGAGUUUUGUUGUUGUUUUGAUUCAUUUUGUUUUUUAAGAAUUGAACAAAUUACAAUGUGCAAAGUGCUUAAAACACCCUGGUACAGUAGUCACACUUUAUUGCUGGGGGAUACAUUCGAAAACACCCAAUGGCUACCUGAAAACUUUGAGAGUACUGAACCCUAUAUAUACUAUGCUUUUUCCUAUUCAUUCAUACCUAUGAUAAAGUUUAAUUUAUAAAUUAGGCACAGUAAGAGUUUAACAACAAUAAGUAAUAAUAAAAUAGAGCAAUUGUUACAACAGAGAGUUGACUCUUGAAAAACAUGGGGAUUAGAGGUGCUGAUCCCCACUGUAGUCGAAAAUCCGCAUAUAACUUUACAGUCGGCCCUCCGAAUCUGUGGUUCUGCAUCCCAGAUUCAACGAUCCACGGAUUGUGGAAUACUGCAGUGUGUAUUUAUUGGGGAAAAAAUCCACGUAUAAGUGGAUCUGCACAG